UCUACGAAAAAGAACACAGCAUGAAUAUCGUUUGAUACGUCGACAAAAAGAGAAAGCUGAUUUCCUUCAAUACAUUCAAUACGAGCUUAAUUUAAUUGCUCUUUUCAACUCUCGUUUAAAAGUAAUUUUGUUAUAUUACUUUAGAAACAUGGCAAGUCUGUACAUACAUUGAGCCGUCAGCAUAUGGCCUCUAUUUCUAUGAGAAUUAAUCGCCUUUUUAAUCGUGUUUUGCAAAGAUUUCCCAAUGAUAUCAAACUUUGGUGGUCUUAUAUUGGAUUUUGUCAAAAUCUUGAGUGGGAUUCAAGAGCAUCUCAAGCAUACUUUGGGGCACUUAAACAUCACAACACAAAUGAAAAAUUGUGGCUAAUGGCGGCUCGUUGGAAUUAAGUUCCAGAUUAGACUUUGGGACAGCCCGUACCAUACUACAUAGGGCACUUAAAUUUCACAAAAAAUCAAAAUCGCUUUGGC